rnacentral:ncRNA from 2 species
AGAAUCAAGCCAUGUUAGGAUGAGGGGAUGCUCGAUUGGGAAAGCCCGGUGAAAGUCCGGUACUGUGCCGCAACUGUAAAGUCCAAAUAACUUGAGACAGCAGGUUAUUGGAGUAAGUCAGAAUGCCAAUCGAGAAUAGAACAUUCAU